AUCUCAGUGACCAUUCAGAAACUGAAGUGAAGAAAUCUAGCAUACUGCCAGAUGCUAUACCACCACGUGCUAUACCACCACCUAUAGCUGAAUCUCCACUAGCACUGAAGGACUUAUCUGUGAGGGAAACACCAACAUCUGUAGGCCAAUCAUCUGUCAUGGAGUUGCCAAAGCCUGCAGACCAUCUGGUUGUUGAAAACUCGCUAGGUUCUGAAGGCCAAUUUCCCAUACCUAGGGGAAACUCAUCUGAGAUUAGAUCACCUGUGGAUGAACAGCUUGGUUUCAAAGUCAAAAUAUCCAUGUCUGAAUCCUCACAGUCUUGGAGUAAAAUGUCUCUGAAUGAAUCAUCAGCAGCUGUAGUUAAACCAACAGAGGAAGCUUGUGAAAUAUCAGAGCAGCCAACGGUGUAUGAAGACCCUUUUGAAGCCUCUGUUAACUAUGUGGAGAAACAUAAUAUUCUGCAGAUAUUUCAGGAGAUCACAAUGAAACUGUUGUACGAGAAACCUGAAGACCCCUUGCAGUUCAUGUUGCUGCAGGUGCAGUCUAUGAUAAAUGCCAGGCAGGCAGAAAUGGAAGGAGUAUCGGAAGAGCACAAAGAUACAGAGGAGUUUCUGGGAGAGGUCCUGAGCACUCCUUCAGGCUUCUACUGACCUUGCUGUUGUGGUAUUGCACAGGGCCUUUCCAGCAUCAUGCUUUUACAACCAGUGGAAGUACCUUUGAAGAAGUCUGCUGGUAUCUCUGUUUCCUGAUUUUUCUGUUCUGUACGCUUGUAUUUCCCUUUUUGUUUAAAUCCUGCAACCAAGCAUCACUUUGGAUGUGCAAACUCAAACCUGAAAGAGUGCAUGGACUUACAUGCAUAUGUGGCAUGUCCUGAAAAGGCUGGCCUGCUGAACUCUUGUCUGUUCUGUACAUGCAAAUGCACAAAUUCCACAUUUAGGCCACCUCUAGUCUCUGCUUUUCUGUGCAGAGAAACAAUACACAGUAGAAUUAAACAGUAAACCUGGACAACUCACAGUCCUUUCUUUUUCAUGCUGCAUUGGGAGCGUGCUGUCUCAAACUAUACAAUAACACCAAUGUCCAUCUAAUAGUUUGAAAUCCACACUCAGAGAGGCUGGGUCUGUGGCUUUUCUGCUGCCCCCAAAGCUCCCCUGACACAUGGAGAUGUCUCUCUUGUUUCCACACAUGUGGCUGUCUCCCCCUUAACCUGUUAGUUUCAGAUCACUCUGCUUUUUGAUGUUGUCCUGCUUGUAUCAUUGCAAGUGUAGCACGUAUUUUGAUAAACAGCUCUGUGGCUUCAAAGGAUAUUGCCAAUCAGGAAAGUGAAAGGUGAAUAAAACUAAACCAACCAAAACCA
rnacentral:lncRNA from 1 species